GACGAACGCUGGCGGCGUGCCUAAUACAUGCAAGUCGACCUUAGUGGCGAACUGGUGAGUAACACGUGGGUCACCUGCGCAUCAUAAGGGGAUAAAACGUGGAAACAGGUGCUAAUACCGUAUAAUGGUAGUAGGUCCCGCGGUGCAUUAGCUAGUUGGUGAGGUAACGGCUCAGCAAGGCCACGAUGCAUAGCCGACCUGAGAGGGUGAUCGGCCACAUGGGGACUGAGACACGGCCCAAACUCCUACGGGAGGCAGCAGUAGGGAAUCUUCGGCAAUGGACGAAAGUCUGACCGAGCAACGCCGCGUGAGUGAAGAAGGUUUUCGGAUCGUAAAACUCUGUUGUUAGAGAAGCGGUAUCUAACCAGAAAGCCACGGCUAACUACGUGCCAGCAGCCGCGGUAAUAC
rnacentral:rRNA from 1 species